rnacentral:lncRNA from 1 species
UGGUUUAAGGUAUUACAUACUUCAAAGACAUUACUAAUAUAAUAAAAUAUUAAACGUCGCUUAUACAAAAUUCCCUUUCUAAUAUAAUGCAUCUUUAAUUAAAUUAAAUAAAGACUCUAUUAAUCCUUCCCCGUGUCAUAAUCAGAGCGGAGCUUCACCAACAACUCGAACACCGACAAACAUACACAACCUGAUAAUCUGAACCCCCAACGGUUCAGCACAAACACAAAACAGAGGGUUAGAUAAUAUAAUCAUAACCAGUGAUUGAAUAUAACGAANNNNNNNNNNNNNNNNNNNNNNNNNNNNNNNNNNNNNNNNNNNNNNNNNNAAGAACAAAUGCAUAGAUACAACCCAGACAUCCACACACAUAUAUCAGACAUACUCAGACAUAUGUAUAUAUGAGUUAAAGAUAACAUAUAUCACAUAACUACAUGUUAUUAACGAGUUAUAAUAAUCAAGUAACACAUUAUAUUCAUUUAUCAAUCACACAUCACAGUAAACUAGAUCAUACAUCACUUGGAUAACUUAAUCUAAGUGUUUUAGAUCAUCGUCUCUAAAACAUUCUAGAUCAUCGUCUCUAGAAUAACAGUAAACUAGAUCAUCGUCUCUAGGAUACUCAUCAAUAGACACAACUUAUGAAUGCAUGAAUGUGCAUAUAUCAAACACAUGGUUUUAUCUCAACUAUAACAUAACAUAAUAUGGAUAACAUAAUUCAAAUAUUCUAAAUCAUCGUCGUUAGAAUACAUCUACUCAUGAUAAAUCAUCAUUUAUCAUCAUCAAUGAAUCAACAUCAUGAUUUAUCAUAAUCUAUCAACAAGUCUAUUCAUCAUCAUUAAUCAACAACACAUAAUGUAUCAACAAAACUUAACAACAUCACUAUCAUCAUCAACUCAUGGAAAAUACAUUUAUUCCAUACUCAAAAGAUACUAAAACUAAUUAACAACAAUUAGUUAUUUAAUUCAAUUAAUAAAAACUAAUUAAGCAUACUUUAUUACCAAAAUAUAUGCAAACACCAACAACCAACAAUCAUCUUAGAAAACAAACUCCGUAGUCGGAAUCUACACGAAAAAAAUGAGCAAAAUAGAUUCCAGGUGCAUAAGUCAACAAAAAGUCAAAAAUUGUCAACAUAAGGAGUUGCGUCGACUAUAGCGUCGGCCAAAUUGCGUCGCAAGCGCACUGUUCAUACUGCAGAAUUCUGCAGGACACGUUUUGGUGCGAUUUUGGUCCAAAUAAGCACUUUAAAGCUACGAAAACCACUUAUUUAAACCCAUAAAUUCAUGUCAAACAAUUACCACACUUAUAACAUGAUUAAAUCAACUUAAAUCAUCAAUUAUAAGCACUUAUUCAUGGAUUUUCAUCAUUUAUCAAAUCAUUUCAUUUAUAAAUCAUGAACACACAUAGAUAAUCAUAUAUCAUAACAUAAAUUUCAUGAUUAUCAUAUUCCCAAAUCCCAUAACUAACCCAAAGAUUAUAAAACUAGAGAAUUAUACUUCUCUCCUCUCCAUUAAUUCACCUCAAAUAUUAUAAAACUACGUACCAUCAUACCUCUAAUGAAGCUUGAAAAAUGGAAGCUUGGUUGUUCUUUGAGCUUGGUUCUCUUUUCUUCGUUUCUUCCUCCCUUUGUUU